UUUUUAAACGGUUUUGCAAAUUUUUUUAUUGGGUUAUUGGUUCGGUUUCCGGUUUUAUAAUUUUUGUUAAUGGUUAAACCGAUAACCCAAUAAGACUAUACUAAAUUUACUAGUCUUAUUGUUAAUGGUUAAACGAUUGUUACUUUCACACUUUUUGUUAAUGGUUAAACGAUUGUUACUUUCACAUUUUUUCCUUUGAAUGUGUCUAGUGUCUAAACUUGCAAGAAAAAUGAUUGUUACUUUUAUGAUUAUUACUUUCAUGCCAAAUGCUGGAAAGAUCAUAUGGUUUAUUUGAAAAUUUUCUUAUCGUGUAUAUAAUAUAUAUGAGUAUUUUCUUAUUGGUUAAACCGAAAACCGAACCGUUAAGUACCAUAAACCGAUUAACCAAAAACCGAUAAGAAAUAUGUUAUUGGUUUGGUUAUCGGUUUGAUGUAUUUACAAACCGAAAACCGAUAAACCGAACCAAUAACACCUAAAACCGAAC
rnacentral:lncRNA from 1 species